UACGAAGGGGGCUAGCGUUGCUCGGAAUUACUGGGCGUAAAGGGCGCGUAGGCGGACAGUUUAGUCAGAGGUGAAAGCCCAGGGCUCAACCUUGGAACUGCCUUUGAUACUGGCUGUCUUGAGUUCGGGAGAGGUGAGUGGAAUGCCGAGUGUAGAGGUGAAAUUCGUAGAUAUUCGGCGGAACACCAGUGGCGAAGGCGACUCACUGGCCCGAUACUGACGCUGAGGCGCGAAAGCGUGGGGAGCGAACAGG
rnacentral:rRNA from 1 species